GACGAACGCUGGCGGCGUGCCUAAUACAUGCAAGUCGAGCGAGCGGCGGACGGGUGAGUAACACGUAAGGAACCUACCCAUAAGCGUGGGACAACAUCCGGAAACGGGUGCUAAUACCGCAUACUGAUGGGUGGCCUUGCGGUGCAUUAGCUGGUGGGUGGGGUAACGGCCUACCAAGGCAAUGAUGCAUAGCCGGGCGGAGAGGGUGAUCGGCCACAUGGGGACUGAGAGACGGCCCAAACGCCUACGGGAGGCAGCAGUAGGGAAUCGUCCGCAAUGGGCGCAAGGCUGACGGAGCAACGCCGCGUGAGUGAAGAAGGUUUUCGGAUCGUAAAGUUCUGUUCUAAGAGAGGCGGUAUCUUACCAGAAAGCCACGGCUAACUACGUGCCAGCAGCCGCGGUAAUAC
rnacentral:rRNA from 1 species